GCGGGCGUGGCGGAACUGGUAGACGCGCCAGGUUUAGGUCCUGGUAUCGAAAGAUGUGGGGGUUCGAGUCCCUUCGCCCGCACCA
rnacentral:tRNA from 1 species